CAUGCACGCCACUUUCGUUAAGCCAAGUGGUGUGUUAUCUGUACACAUUUUUAGCUAUCCACGUGUAUGUCUACUGUAUACAGCAGGCGUACACAUACACGCCACUUUACUCGCCGU